rnacentral:rRNA from 1 species
CCUCAGUAACGGCGAGUGAAGCGGUAACAGCUCAAAUUUGAAAUCUGGCCUCACGGUCCGAGUUGUAAUUUGUAGAGGAUGCUUCGAGCAUGGUCUGGCCUAAGUUCCUUGGAACAGGACGUCAUAGAGGGUGAGAAUCCCGUAUGCGGUCAGGUGCCUACGCUCAUGUGAAGCUCCUUCGACGAGUCGAGUUGUUUGGGAAUGCAGCUCAAAAUGGGUGGUAAAUUUCAUCUAAAGCUAAAUAUUGGCCAGAGACCGAUAGCGCACAAGUAGAGUGAUCGAAAGAUGAAAAGCACUUUGGAAAGAGAGUUAAACAGUACGUGAAAUUGUUGAAAGGGAAGCGCUUGCAACCAGACUUGCGCGCGGCCGAUCAUCCGGUGUUCUCACCGGUGCACUCGGCCGUGCUCAGGCCAGCAUCGGUUUUGGCGGCUGGAUAAAGGCCCUAGGAAUGUAGCUCCUCUCGGGGAGUGUUAUAGCCUAGGGUGCAAUGCAGCCUGCUGGGACCGAGGACCGCGCUUCGGCUAGGAUGCUGGCGUAAUGGUUGUAAGCGGCCCGUCUUGAAACACGGACCAAGGAGUCUAACAUCUAUGCGAGUGUUUGGGUGUCAAACCCAUACGCGUAAUGAAAGUGAACGGAGGUGAGAACCCUUAAGGGUGCAUCAUCGACCGAUCCUGAUGUCUUCGGAAGGAUUUGAGUAAGAGCAUAGCUGUUGGGACCCGAAAGAUGGUGAACUAUGCCUGAAUAGGGUGAAGCCAGAGGAAACUCUGGUGGAGGCUCGCAGCGGUUCUGACGUGCAAAUCGAUCGUC